UACGGGGGGGGCAAGCGUUGUUCGGAAUUACUGGGCGUAAAGGGCUCGUAGGCGGCCAACUAAGUCGGAUGUGAAAUCCCCAGGCUCAACCUGGGAACUGCAUCCGAUACUGGAUGGCUUGAAUCCGGGAGAGGGAUGCAGAAUUCCAGGUGUAGCGGUGAAAUGCGUAGAUAUCUGGAGGAAUACCGGUGGCGAAGGCGGCAUCCUGGACCGGCAUUGACGCUGAGGAGCGAAAGCAUGGGGAGCGAACAGG
rnacentral:rRNA from 1 species